GACCGCUCCGGUGGCCUAGUGGUUAGAACGUCCGCCUUGGAUGUGGGAGGUCACAGGUUCGAAAACAGGCUGAGUCA